GCCGCUGUGGUGGAAUAGGCAGACACAAGGGACUUAAAAUCCCUCGGAGUAAAAUCCGUACCGGUUCGACCCCGGUCAGCGGCACCA
rnacentral:tRNA from 2 species